AAUUCUUUUAAUUGAAAGAACUAAGUCGAAUAGAUUUAUAUUAAAAAAAAAACAAUCUGAAUAAAUCCGACCUGAUAAAAAACUAUUUAUAUUCAACCAAAUAUAAAUAUCUAAAACUAUAACUCUGGAUGCUCUAUUUUAUAUAUUUUAGUUUAUGAUUUAGUUUUGCUAUCUUUUUGUUUGCAAUAUUGAUUACUAUUUUAUCAAAUUUAUAAGUAGUAUAAAAAAUUUAAAUGUCAAAGAAAUUUAUCCAAACCGAAAAAUUUCAAGUACCUAAUUGAACCAAAAUGUGCAAAACCUAAAGGAUCCAAAUCCAAGAGGAACCGACACGAACCAACCAACAAAUCCGAAGGCAAAUGCCUAUUAUAUUCUUAUCAAAUGAAAAUUCUUCAUUAACAUGUUUAAAAAGCUUAGGGAAUUUUAAUAUUACCAUAAAUUUGAUACUACUUUUCCAAUUUACCUUUAAAUGAUAACCAUUUUCAUAACUAUCUAAAAUUUGUGAUAAAACUAAAUUGACUAUUUUAUAUAAUUUAUAAAUUUUUAAUAAUCAUUUAUAAAAGUGUAUUAACAUAAUCACAUACAGUAAAUACUAAACUCUAAUAGUAAUCUAAUCCUAAUGUUAAAAUACUUUUAACUAGAGUUAUUUUUAAAAAUUUAUAGUCAAAUUUAUGGUAUUAAAAUCAAUUUCUCAAACUUUAUUUACGUAUUAACCGACGAAAUAGCCUUUAAGUGUUCCUACCUUUCGAAUUCUUAUGGGUUUCUCUGAUUUACUUGGAAAAAAAAAACGUUGUAUGUGUAUCUAUAAUAUACACAUAGACAUGCUACCUAUAUUCUAGUUAGUCACUGGACUGACGGAAAAAAAAAAAUCACUGAACUUAAUUGGAAGAGGAAAACGCAAUUAUUGAACUUCAUUUUCAACCAUUAUUUCUCCAAAUUUAGUAUAUUAAUUCCAAUGGAUUUGCGUUCAGCGUAUCUUACACUAAGAACAUCAUUAACGGGUUCUCUAAGUCCCGUCUCUUAGUGUUUUCAGAAUUAAAAAAAAAAAGAAAAAUAGCAAUUAUUUGAAAUUACGUCUCUUAAUCAAGCAAAAGAAGAGACGUCUCUUCUCGCUCUGUCUAUCGUGAAGAAGGAAGAAAGAAAAAGAAGCCAUGGCAGGAGUAGGAUUUUUCUGGUGUAAUCUCUUCAUCUCCUUUCCUCUGUCUCUUCAUCUCCUUUCCUCUGUAAAUCCUCCCAGGUUAUCAUUUUCUCAUCUUUUAUGGUUUAAUUGAUUUCUCUCCAAUUUUCCGAAUUCCUUAGAGCUUCUUUUCGAAUUUGCAGCCGAAGGAUUUGGAGAUGUUGAUGCCAAUCUUUCUUCGUAUUAAUACCUAAAUUAAUUCAAUUUUUUUUGCCAGAUGUUGAUGAUUUCUACUCUCAAUGCGAUCCGGUAAGUCAUGGAAGCCUUAAUCGCAACGAGAGGUGAUACGUAAGAAAACCCCCAAAGCUAUAAUCAAAUCUUAGACAAGAAGCCAUGGAAGCUGAAACUGAUGCGAUGAAGGGACAAGAGUCGAAGCAACAGAUCAGAGACGAAGAACUAUUCAAAGCGGCAGAAUCCGGUGAUUUUUCGGUGUUCAUGUCUUUAUCUCUUCAACAGCUCGCGAAAUCUAUCAGUUUCCGAAACGAAGACGGUCGCUCCCUCCUCCAUGUCUCAGCUUCGUCGGUCAUUCUCAGGUUUGCUUCCUUUACCCCAAGUACUAGAAUCUAUAGUUAGACAAAAGCAUUAUGGAUUGUGUUGUUGCAAAUUUUUUAGCGAUUUGAGUUUUACAAAGGAGAAAAAGUCAGAUAUUAAAAGCGUAUGGUUGUGGGAUUUGCAGAUAGUGAAGUUGCUAUCAAGUGUACAUGAAUCAAAGACUGUAAUCAAUAGUAAGGAUGAUGAAGGAUAGGCUCCCCUACAUUCUACUGCUAGCAUCGGCAAGGCGGAGCUCGUUGAAAUCUUAUUGACUAGAGGUGCUGAUGUGAAUGUCAAAAACAAUGGUGGUCGCACUGCUCUUCAUUAUGCUGCUAGCAAGGGAUGGUUGGAAAUCGCUCAGCUUUAUUUUAAAUCAGAUGAACGUGUGCCUACUGAGUUGAAGAAAGCAAUCAUGCAAGCCCGAGGGGUGAAGAAUCUCACCCAUUCCCAACUCGCUCAAGUACACUAGUUCUCUCUUCACUUUGUCUCUUUUUUUUCUGAGUUUAAUAGUAUCCAUUGGUCUGAUCAGAAUAUACACUUGUUAGAAUUUGAGAAUAGGUGAUAGAUGUUCUUACCUAUAAAACGAGAAAUCAUGCUCCUCCCUGAUUCUUAUAUACUCAACUAAACUCUUGUAAGGUUGAUGUAAUGUUAGAUUUGCAAUGUAAAGAGUUUGUAUACUGAUUUGAUUCAAUGUUAAAAUUUUUGUUUUUAA